CGCUGUUCAUCCCCCGCCGAAAUGCUUUGACCCGGACAGUUGUUGUUCUGCGCGUUGGCUUGUUUUAGUGGAAGACGCAUCAAGCAAGCAAGGGUUGGCUUUAUUCUGCUGGACAGACACUUGAAUGAUGUUGAACCCCUGCCCGGAUGAAACCUCUCUCCUGAAUGACACAAUUGAUCAGUCACGCUCACCCAUCCUCAGCUACAGUGCUGCCACAUUCCAUCAACAUGGCGGGAAGUAUUCUCCUCACCAAAGAGCUCAACACUGGAAAUUGACACAAUGUUGCAAUUGCAACAUCAACUACGCAAUUACCUAACUAACUACACUAACUACCUUUUUUUAUGUAGCGGUUGUUAUUGCUGUAGCCUAUACAUUUUCAUUUUUUCACACCUGUCACUAAUCCUGAUGUGUCCCAGAAACAUUGAUUUUGUUGUAAAUUUCUAUUUACUUACAUUUCAUUUGAACAUGUUUGUGUUUUUUGAGCAAAUUGUUGUUAUUAUAAUGUAUCAUUUUAUAUCUGGACGUGGUCCAAUUUGUACAACUCAGAGCAGGUUAUUGUCUCGUUGUCAAAAUGUGGUAUAAGCACAUUCAUAAUUUUUUUUUUUACAAUACCUCAUAUUAAUGGCACUUUACUUAAGGUGUCUGUGCGCACUGUGCAUAUGACAUGGUUUUGACACCUAGGAUUUCAAUCAAUGUAAUAAUGUGGUUGUGACAUAGAGGUUGGUAAAUUAAAUAACACCCUGUUAUAAAAUAUUGUAUGUAGACUUAUGUAGAAUGUAAUAACAUAUGACAAAAGUUGUCAUGCAGACUAUGUAAUAGCAGUCGUUAAUAACGGUUGAUAUUAGAGCAUAUGAUAACAGGACGAACAGUCAUCUAUAAUGCAAAUGUUAACUAGUUUUAUAACAUCAUAUGGGGUUACUCAUAACUAGUUAUAAACAACUUAUGACAAGUUUUACAAAGUGUCAUGUAGCUGUUUUAAAGCAGUUCUG
ensembl:lncRNA